rfam:Daphnia magna strain Xinb3 scaffold02167, whole genome shotgun sequence.
GCAGAUGUGGCCGAGUGGUUAAGGCGAUUGACUAGAAAUCAAUUUCCCUCUGGGAGCGUAGGUUCGAAUCCUACCAUCUGCG